UAGGGAAUCUUCGGCAAUGGACGAAAGUCUGACCGAGCAACGCCGCGUGAGUGAAGAAGGUUUUCGGAUCGUAAAACUCUGUUGUUAGAGAAGAACAAGGAUGAGAGUAACUGUUCAUCCCUUGACGGUAUCUAACCAGAAAGCCACGGCUAACUACGUGCCAGCAGCCGCGGUAAUACGUAGGUGGCAAGCGUUGUCCGGAUUUAUUGGGGGUAAAGCGAGCGCAGGCGGUUUCUUAAGUCUGAUGUGAAAGCCCCCGGCUCAACCGGGGAGGGUCAUUGGAGACUGGGGGACUUGAGUGCAGAAGAGGAGAGUGGAAUUCCAUGUGGAGCGGUGAAAUGCGUAGAUAUAUGGAGGAACACCAGUGGCGAAGGCGGCUCUCUGGUCUGUAACUGACGCUGAGGCUCGAAAGCGUGGGGAGCAAACA
rnacentral:rRNA from 1 species